CAAGGAAUUUUCGGCAAUGGAGGAAACUCUGACCGAGCAACGCCGCGUGGGUGAGGAAGUCUUUAGGGAUGUAAAACCCUUUUCUCUUUGAAGAAGGAAAGACGGUAGAAGAGGAAUAAGCACCGGCAAACUACGUGCCAGCAGCCGCGGUAAUACGUAGGGUGCGAGCGUUGUCCGGAAUUAUUGGGCGUAAAGGGCUCGUAGGCGGUUUGUCGCGUCGGGAGUGAAAACACUGGGCUUAACCGAGUGCUUGCUUUCGAUACGGGCAGACUUGAGGCAUUCAGGGGUAGAACGGAAUUCCUAGUGUAGCGGUGAAAUGCGCAGAUAUUAGGAGGAACACCGGUGGCGAAGGCGGUUCUCUGGGAAUGUUCUGACGCUGAGGAGCGAAAGUGUGGGGAGCGAACAGGAUUAGAUACC
rnacentral:rRNA from 1 species